rnacentral:lncRNA from 1 species
UCUCCAUCAGACAGGGAUGUACACGGCCGGAUCUGUCUGUAGCGGUCAAGCCAUUUUUCUACCAUUUGUGUAACCAAGGGGUGGUUUCUCCGCCGAGAGCUUUUCUGCAUGGCCACUAGAACGCCCCCUUCAGUCACACAGCAGUCCAGCCACUCUCUGAGCAGUUUCUCUUGCUGCUCCUCAUUACCUAGCUCCUGAGCAGAAAGGAAGUGCACAUGAAGGAGCUUCCUUUCACUGUCAACCAGAGUGUAGCCAACAUCAAAAGCAGAAGGACGGUUCAGCAAGCGCACUUCAUCUGCAGUGAGCUGGCGUGCGAUGUCUCCUCCUGAUGACUUGUAUGCUUCUAUGGCUGCUAAAUCACCUUCCACAACCCCU